UACGAAGGGAGCUAGCGUUGUUCGGAAUCACUGGGCGUAAAGCGCACGUAGGCGGAUGUGUCAGUCAGGGGUGAAAUCCCGGAGCUCAACUUCGGAACUGCCUUUGAUACAGCACGUCUUGAGUCCGAUAGAGGUGGGUGGAAUUCCUAGUGUAGAGGUGAAAUUCGUAGAUAUUAGGAAGAACACCGGUGGCGAAGGCGGCCCACUGGCUCGAUACUGACGCUGAGGUGCGAAAGCGUGGGGAGCAAACAGG
rnacentral:rRNA from 1 species